GGAAACAGUCACUGGUGUUAGAAGGGCUUUAGAAGGAAUGUUCCCAGGAGCAAUUACAUGGUCUAAGACCAGGUUAGGUUUUCCUCUUGCCUCUGUUAAGCAAAAAUAUCAUGGGAAGAUUUUACAACUGGCUUAGUCCAGAAGAAGAGCAUGGCCAAAGUCCACAAGCUAAAAGCUAUGGCAGUGGGCUACAGGAAAUCACAGCCACAGCCCAGCCAGCAGCUGGAAAAAUACACAAAUGGGCUGAGGAAGACAUCAGCAUUUUAAAAGGUGAGGAGAGAUUGCUUCCUUGUCAAGGAUCCCAGUAUGCCCGUGUUCUGGUAAGUAAAUGUGCCUGAGUUUUGAGAUACAUGGCUGAGUUUUAGCUUGCCUGUUCCAUGCUGUAUCAAGUGUCUGUGUCAUCCUCACUCUGCACCAGACCAAAUUAAUACUAAAUAGGAAUGUUAAAGUCUCGUGGCCGCUGCAGACUGAUAGAUGGAACCAUCUGGUUAAUGGAGAUACCAUAAUGAAAGCAUUAGUUCUUAAGUGUAGUGUAGCACUGCAGAUAUUUUAUCAUGUAAAUGAAAAAAAAAGAGACCCCAGUGAGGACUGAAUUUAAACUGCUGUCUUUUUUCUACAGCAUAGGGAAGCAAAGCUGAAUUAGUCCAGGAGCUCACAUACUGCUGCUGUCAUCAGAGGAAGAAAUGCUGGGUGUGCUGGGAAAAAUAUAUAAGCAUUAGAAAUGGAAUAACUUUCAUGAUUUAAAUUACUUUUAUUAGGAGCCGAAUGAUUUGCUGAGGAUAUUAAUUUCAAAAGUCAGACUGCAAGAGAUCAGCUGAGAUGAAAGAUCACUGCAAAGUGACCUCAGACUAGGGUAAAAGAAAAAGAAGAGAGGGAGCAUGGUUCAGCUGAAGAGUUCAAUGCUGUCUAGCAGUGAACUGAAGCAGAUGCAUUUUCACACCAAGGGUGGUUUCCAUGGAACUGACUGCAGGUGUCAUCACUACAGUUCAGAGUCACCACUGUGGAUUCCAUUUAUGGUCAUGGAGAGAAGGGUAAGGGGGCAGCGAGCAAGCAAGUGGCUCUGUGGCAUUUACUUACCAGCUGAGCUUAAACCGUGACACCAUAUUAGACUGAGAACUGCCCGUUAUCAUGCUGAAAAGCCUUAGAGGAAAAUGGAAAUGGAAAAGGAAAAGGAAAAGGAAAAGGAAAAGGAAAAGGAAAAGGAAAAGGAAAAGGAAAAGGAAAAGGAAAAAGAAAAUACCCACAGAAAACACCAACCAAGUUUAAAAGGACAGUGAAAGGAACUACUAGACUUUGACAGAAGUCAUGUCCGAAUGGGAAACUCAGGAAAAUCUGGCAGUUGAAAAGUAGAUCUCUAAUGAUAUGGAUCAAAUACCUGUUCAAGUGCCAAGCUGCUAAUAAAAAACACUUUCAGGCACAUCCAAACCAUGAUGUCUGCCAGAAAUUCAGUGGAACUUCAAGUGAGAUAGUCAAGAACUAGAAGGAUUAGUCAGCAAAAAUAAGAAAAAACUUAGAUGAAUGCAGCUCAUUAAGGAAAAGGUGAAGGAGCCCCCUGAGACAGAUGAAGAACAAUCUCAAACUGAAAAGGUUUUGAAACAAAUCAAUACAUUGACAGGUAAGAAGAAGGCAGAAUGGCAACCAUCAAGCAGCUCUGCAGCAACUCAGCAUGAAGCUGCUAAUUUGUGAACUGCAAUGCAUCUGGUGUCAGAGGAACAGACAAUGGUCGGUAUAACUUCAGACUCUCAAAAAUGCUGAAAUCUAGGGAGCAAUAAUGCUAGUGGUUUUACUUGGAAAGAUCAGGAGGAACUGGGAGAGCAGCUGUGCUGGGUAGGAUUCCAUACACGUUUUUCCCAGGGAAGUCAUGCUUCAUGGAUGUGGUGGAGACAUCUGUAGGAUUGUACAAGCUUUGUGCAUAAGGGUGCUGCAGAUGGAAGAUUUUGUAAAAAAAAUUUAUGUAACUUCAGAUUUCUAAGAGAUACAAAGGUCAUGUUCUCACAGUUUUAAGCUAUAGGGCAGGAAAUGACAGAAAUAUUGGAGAACCUUAACUGUGGAAGGAAACUGCCAGUGGCCUGCCACAAGUAUUUGUACAUUGGAAUUAACCAUUCAAUAUGUUCCCCAGGGACCUAGCCAAGGCUGUCCAGCAGAUUGACAAAAGAAAAAAGGCAAU